rnacentral:rRNA from 1 species
AACUUCCGUUAAUUGAUUAUGACGUACUUGUACUGAUUGAGAUUUUAACACGAAGUGAGUGGCGAACGGGUGAGUAACACGUGGGUAACCUGCCCAGAAGCAGGGGAUAACACCUGGAAACAGAUGCUAAUACCGUAUAACAGAGAAAACCGCAUGGUUUUCUUUUAAAAGAUGGCUCUGCUAUCACUUCUGGAUGGACCCGCGGCGUAUUAGCUAGUUGGUGAGGUAAAGGCUCACCAAGGCAGUGAUACGUAGCCGACCUGAGAGGGUAAUCGGCCACAUUGGGACUGAGACACGGCCCAGACUCCUACGGGAGGCAGCAGUAGGGAAUCUUCCACAAUGGACGCAAGUCUGAUGGAGCAACGCCGCGUGAGUGAAGAAGGGUUUCGGCUCGUAAAGCUCUGUUGUUAAAGAAGAACGUGGGUAAGAGUAACUGUUUACCCAGUGACGGUAUUUAACCAGAAAGCCACGGCUAACUACGUGCCAGCAGCCGCGGUAAUACGUAGGUGGCAAGCGUUAUCCGGAUUUAUUGGGCGUAAAGCGAGCGCAGGCGGUCUUUUAAGUCUAAUGUGAAAGCCUUCGGCUCAACCGAAGAAGUGCAUUGGAAACUGGGAGACUUGAGUGCAGAAGAGGACAGUGGAACUCCAUGUGUAGCGGUGAAAUGCGUAGAUAUAUGGAAGAACACCAGUGGCGAAGGCGGCUGUCUGGUCUGCAACUGACGCUGAGGCUCGAAAGCAUGGGUAGCGAACAGGAUUAGAUACCCUGGUAGUCCAUGCCGUAAACGAUGAUUACUAAGUGUUGGAGGGUUUCCGCCCUUCAGUGCUGCAGCUAACGCAUUAAGUAAUCCGCCUGGGGAGUACGACCGCAAGGUUGAAACUCAAAAGAAUUGACGGGGGCCCGCACAAGCGGUGGAGCAUGUGGUUUAAUUCGAAGCUACGCGAAGAACCUUACCAGGUCUUGACAUCUUCUGACAGUCUAAGAGAUUAGAGGUUCCCUUCGGGGACAGAAUGACAGGUGGUGCAUGGUUGUCGUCAGCUCGUGUCGUGAGAUGUUGGGUUAAGUCCCGCAACGAGCGCAACCCUUAUUACUAGUUGCCAGCAUUAAGUUGGGCACUCUAGUGAGACUGCCGGUGACAAACCGGAGGAAGGUGGGGACGACGUCAAAUCAUCAUGCCCCUUAUGACCUGGGCUACACACGUGCUACAAUGGAUGGUACAACGAGUCGCGAAACCGCGAGGUUAAGCUAAUCUCUUAAAACCAUUCUCAGUUCGGACUGUAGGCUGCAACUCGCCUACACGAAGUCGGAAUCGCUAGUAAUCGCGGAUCAGCAUGCCGCGGUGAAUACGUUCCCGGGCCUUGUACACACCGCCCGUCACACCAUGAGAGUUUGUAACACCCAAAGCCGGUGGG